AUGAGGGUAUUUGAACCGUAAAUGCUUGAAAUAAUUGACGCCAGUGAAUUGCCGGAAUUCCUUGGUGGCACUUGUACCUGUCCUGAAUACGGAGGCUGCCUUAAGGCUGAAAAGGGA